rnacentral:rRNA from 1 species
AAGCGUUGUCCGGAAUUAUUGGGCGUAAAGAGCGCGUAGGCGGUCCGAUAAGUCGGCUGUGAAAGUCAGGGGCUCAACCCUUGAAAGCCGGCCGAUACUGUCGGACUAGAGUCCGGAAGAGGCGAGUGGAAUUCCUGGUGUAGCGGUGAAAUGCGCAGAUAUCAGGAAGAACACCCGUGGCGAAGGCGGUUCUCUGGGACGGUACUGACGCUGAGACGCGAAAGCGUGGGGAGCGAACAGG